UUCUUGCUUCUGGCUAUCAAAAGGGCUUUUUCAUGGAAAAUGGGCAACUUGGCAUGAACGCAGGGAAAAGUUGGACUACAUCCAUAGCUACAGAGAUGCAGUGAUAACCGUUUCCAUCCAGGCUCGCUGAAUUCAAGCGCUGAUGCAGAGGCUGUAUUAGACUUGGCAAAACAGGCAGCAAAUAUUCACUCCAUAUCACAUGUACAGGUAAUACCACUGGAAAGGCCCAUCUGGGAGCCAUGCACCUACAACAGAGCAUCAUCGAUCCUGGCCGGUGCAAAAAAGAGACUUGGGCUCGGAAAGCUUGAACCGCCAAUAUUUCCUAAAAAGAAGCUGGUCGUCAGAGAAACUUUGAAGAAGGAGGGUCAGGAGAACAUCAGGAUAACGGAGGAGUCAGAGAAAAAGGCCAGUCAAAAAUCAACAUACAACAAUGA